rfam:Bombyx mori DNA, contig: Bm_scaf72_contig31223, strain: p50T/Dazao, build 2, whole genome shotgun sequence.
UUAACUGAAAUUUGUAUGAAGUUGGAACUUUCGUCUACGUUUGCCGCUAGGUGCGCUGUUCUAACUGCAUACAAAUUUGAGUUA